UGAGUUCUCCCUGACUCCUUGAGAGUCCUGAAGGAACGUUGAAGACGACGACGUUGAUAGGCCGGGUGUGUAAGCGCAGCGAUGCGUUGAGCUAACCGGUACUAAUGAACCGUGAGGCUUAACCUUACAACGCCGAAGGUGUUU
rnacentral:rRNA from 2 species